rnacentral:lncRNA from 1 species
ACCGCGGGCCUCAAAAACGGCCGGCGGCACCUCGGCAAAGGCGCCGCCGCCGCCGUGCCCUGCAAAGAGCGCCGGCCACAGGCGCUCGACCUGUUGGCGACAGUAGACCGCCGCAUGUCGCUUGCCGUCGUCGUGAUCGAUUGCGAUAAAGAGAUCCAGCGUGUUGCCGCCAUCGCCGGAUCUGCCAUGGCCUGCCAAAAAGGUAGCCACAGCGACAUUGAGAUCAAAGAGGAGCGGCGUAGAGCGCGGGAGGACCACCAACAGGCGGGCGAGGAUGGACCACACGACCGUGGCGCGGCCGCUCUGGUGCUUUGCGCGGAUGGCGAGCGCGCCCAGCACGCCCAAGAGCAUCGCCGACACUGACUCGACCCAGUUGGCGCCGGUCACAAGGCUCCACACGCCAUACACAAAAACGAGGGCACAAGCGGCGGCACACGUGAUAGCCGCCCACGGCCGCGGAGCCGGGUCCAAUGGUACAUAGGGGAAGCGCCCCGUCGGCACAUACUGGUGCAGCGUGCCGCCUGUUGCAGUCAUGCCUUGCUGUUGUCGCUGCUGAUUGCCUGUGUGAGUUUCUCGCCUAAUCGUCCUUCUUUUUUCU